UACGUAGGUGGCAAGCGUUGUCCGGAAUUAUUGGGCGUAAAGCGCGCGCAGGCGGUCCUUUAAGUCUGAUGUGAAAGCCCACGGCUCAACCGUGGAGGGUCAUUGGAAACUGGGGGACUUGAGUACAGAAGAGAAGAGUGGAACUCCACGUGUAGCGGUGAAAUGCGUAGAGAUGUGGAGGAACACCAGUGGCGAAGGCGACUCUUUGGUCUGUAACUGACGCUGAGGCGCGAAAGCGUGGGGAGCAAACAGG
rnacentral:rRNA from 1 species